rnacentral:rRNA from 1 species
UACGUAGGUGGCAAGCGUUAUCCGGAUUUGUUGGGUGUAAAGGGCGUGUAGGCGGGAGCGCAAGUCAGAUGUGAAAACUCAGGGCUCAACCCUGAGCCUGCAUUUGAAACUGUGUUUCUUGAGUGCUGGAGAGGCAAUCGGAAUUCCGUGUGUAGCGGUGAAAUGCGUAGAUAUACGGAGGAACACCAGUGGCGAAGGCGGAUUGCUGGACAGUAACUGACGCUGAGGCGCGAAAGCGUGGGUAGCAAACAGG